rnacentral:RNase_P_RNA from 1 species
ACGGCGGGUUGCACGGCUGUCGGUAUCCUCCCGUCAAACGGAGGAGGCUGAGGAAGUUCCGCCCACCAUUUGCGAGAGCAAAGUGUUAGAUGCGCAAGCAUCCCCGUCUAAGACGGGAGCGUGGAACAGAAACGAACCGCGCCGAGAGCAGGAUGACGAACAGGACGUUUCUCGGAAUGCGGAUGAAACGCGCCGCGCUUGGUGCAAGUGCUUUACGCACGCUAAGUCGAAUGCCGUGGACAACAGAAGGCGGGCUACGGACUCGCCGU